rnacentral:lncRNA from 1 species
UUUUUUUUUUUUUUUUUUUUUUUGCCCUUCCCUGAUGACAUAGCCAUGUGUUUUUAUCAUUUUGUAUGUUUUUUUUUUUUUUUUUUUCUAUCCGUGUAUCUUCUUUGAUAAAGUGUCUGCUAAAGUCUGGCCUAUUUUUAUUUUAUUAAUUUAAUUUAAUUUAAUUUAAUUUUAUUUUAUUUUAUUUUAUUUAUUUUUUUAUUUUCCUUUGGCCCAUUUUUAAUUGGGGUUUGUUUUCUUAUUAUUGAAUUUUAAGCAUUUUUGUGUAUUUUAGAUGGCAGUACUUUUUCAAACUUUUUUUUUUGCAAAUAAUUUUCUCUUAGUCUAUGGCUGGUCUUCUUAUUCUCUUGUAUUACUUAUUUAGACCAAAUGAAUGUUCUUUAGUAAAGUCUAGAUUAUCAAUUAUUUCUAUCAUGGAUUGAGACUUUGGUGUUCUAUCUAAAAUGUCAACAAUAUACUCUUGGUCAUUUAGAUUUUUUUGUAUGCUGCUAUGGCAGUUUUACAAUUUUGCAUUUCACAUUUAGGCCUGUGAUGUAUUUUUGAGUUUUUGUGAAGACUACAAGGUCUCUGUCUAGGUUGAAUAUUUCUUUGUAGAUAUCCAGUUGUUUCAGCAGCAUUUAUUGAAAAACCUUUGAUCCUUUGUUUUAAAACAGUUGACUAGGGGCUCCUGGGUGGUUCCGUAGGUUAAGCAUCUGACUCUUGAUUUCAGCUCAGGCAAUGAUCUUAGGUUGUGGGAUCAAGCCUUAUGUCAGGCUCCACGCAGGGAGCCCGACGUGGGAUUUGAUCCCUGGUCUCCAGGAUCACGCCCUGGGCUGAAGGCAGCGCUAAACCGCCAAGCCACCUGGGCUGCCCUUAAGAAAACUUUCUAAUAUAGGUCCAUGUUUAAUGGUUUUGAACAAUGUCAUGGACAGUGACAUCUACAAAAUAUUUAUAAUGAAGAUGGCGAAUGACAAUGCAGGUUAUUGGAAGUCUUAGGAAUUGGAUUUCUAAAACCCCCUUCAGAGAUUUCAUGCCAGAAAUAUAUAUGAGGUAAACUUGAUUCUUUAUAGCUUAUUUAUACAAAGAUCCUUAAAAUGAGUUAAUUUGUUGAUUCACACAAUACUACCAAUCUAAAUAUAAUCAAGUAUUUGAAUGACAUAAUGAUGGACUGAACAAAUGCAUGCUGUUAAGUAAUUAAAUGCUAGCCUACACUCUAAAACUCAAUCAGGGGUUGUUGAAAGACCUUUGCCCUACAUAUGUAAAAAAUGUUCACCCGUAGUUAUUUAAUUCUCGUACUCUAAGUUCAUUUCUUAGAAUGUAUUUCUAAGACAAUCCUGAAAUUGUAUAAUGGAUUAAACCCAAAGUUUUUUUUUCUAAUUAACAUGCACAUGCUAUAUUUAAAUAAAAUUCAUAUAAAUACAAGUCAAAAAAAAUUUUUUUUUGGUAGUACAGAUGGAGUACCACUAAUAAGGAGAACUUUUUAACUAGUUUUGCAUCAUUUC